CUUCGGCGGCGGCGAGGCCCACGCUGGGUCGCGCCUCCCAGCGUGGUCGUGGAAGGCGUCACCCGGCGCUGGGGCGCGGGUCGGAGGCUGUUCUGCUCCUGCAGAGUGCGGGUGUUAGUUCUGCUGACGGUGUGCUGUGCUGCUCCUGUCCCUGCCCGCGAUGGCAGACCCGAGCAACAACGGGUUUUUGUUUUUGUGCGGCUGUAGUGGCUGCGCGGCCUUACGUGUUAUUUACACCACUACAGGGCCCUUCAUUUUGAUGGGUUGUUGCUAUUUUAAACCAACAUAAAGUAGAGAAGAUCUGGACUGCUUUCUCUUCCUCCACCAGAUCUCCAGAGGCUGAAGCACACAGAAAGCACACACAUAGCAUUUGCACAGAGGAUGGCACUGACUGCUCCAUGACACAUACGGCAGGGAAGCAUCAUCUGAGUGGCACUAUCUACCCUUGGCCCAGGAUACUCACCCAGGGGACAAAUGAAGCGUCUUCGAGGCAGAGGACAGAAGUCCCCAGCUGGCUUUCAGGCUGACACAGUGCUGUCAAGCGCCCUCACAAAGCUGUGCCCCUCUUUUUCUUCCCAAAUCUCUGCCAUCCUUUAUCCUGUCCCAGAUGUCCUUUCACAGCUGCCCAGUCCCACCUGAUUCAUGUUUGUAAUACUCUCAAUUAAAAAAUUAGUAAUUAAAAUGAAGCCCCCUUUGCCCAUA